UACGAGGGGGGCGAGCGUUGUUCGGAAUUAUUGGGCGUAAAGGGUGCGUAGGCGGCUUUGUAAGUCUUAUGUGAAAUCUAUGGGCUCAACUCAUAGACUGCAUGAGAAACUGCAGGGCUUGAGUAUGGGAGAGGUGAGUGGAAUUCCUGGUGUAGCGGUGAAAUGCGUAGAUAUCAGGAGGAACACCUGUGGCGAAAGCGGCUCACUGGACCAUAACUGACGCUGAUGCACGAAAGCUAGGGGAGCAAACAGG
rnacentral:rRNA from 1 species